AGUGCAGGCAAGAGUGGAUUAGUGGGCAGAAUCCGGGAGAAGAUGCGGGAGGAAAACAGCGCAGAGGCUGGGCGUGGCUACCAGGCGCUGGGCUCUGCACUCACCUGACUUCCAUCUCCCCCUGACUGCUGCCAUGAAUAAGUUCUGGUCUUCCCUCCACUUACUGCCAGCUUGUUACCAUACCUCGACUGUGCCUCCCUCCUCCACCGAGCCUCAGCACCUCACCACCUUCAUACCCAGCC